rnacentral:rRNA from 1 species
ACGGAAGGCAGCAGUAGGGAAUCUUCCGCAAUGGGCGCAAGCCUGACGGAGCAAUGCCGCGUGAGUGAUGAAGGUUUUCGGAUCGUAAAGCUCUGUUGCCAGGGAAGAACGUCCGGUAGAGUAACUGCUGCCGGAGUGACGGUACCUGAGAAGAAAGCCCCGGCUAACUACGUGCCAGCAGCCGCGGUAAUACGUAGGGGGCAAGCGUUGUCCGGAAUUAUUGGGCGUAAAGCGCGCGCAGGCGGUCAUUUAAGUCUGGUGUUUAAACCUUGGGCUCAACCUGAGGUCGCACUGGAAACUGGGUGACUUGAGUACAGAAGAGGAAAGUGGAAUUCCACGUGUAGCGGUGAAAUGCGUAGAUAUGUGGAGGAACACCAGUGGCGAAGGCGACUUUCUGGGCUGUAACUGACGCUGAGGCGCGAAAGCGUGGGGAGCAAACAGGAUUAGAUACCCUGGUA